CUCUCGAUAACCAUCCAUCAAAUCCCCCGUUCUUCCCUUUUCUCACUCUGUAACCCUAGCACCGUUUCUCUCUCAUUUCUCUCAAAUUCGAGAGACUUCUCUCUCCAUUUCUCUCAACCUAGCCCUAGCGCUGCUCACCCCAUUCCUCUUCAUUAUCUCAGUUAAAUCCGUCGAACAAUCAUCGAUGCACCUCCACACGAACCCAUAUCGAAUUUUCCUCCUGCCCACGAUGUGUGGGAGCGGCCGGUCUUCAAAUCGUGGUGAAACAAAUUUUAUCGAACUCAGGUGGGUGCGUUCACUAACUAAGCUUUCAAGGGGAGCCCAUCAAGGUUUGCCUGCUGGGGGAAUAUGGAGACUACGAGUGCACGAGUACCGCGCGUAUUUCGACAAGGUCUUCAAGCUUUACACAAAGCCAUGGAUCGCAAGACACUCCUCCCUCUGUUCUCUCACGCAUCUUCAGCUCUCUCUCUUUCACUCUUGAGGUACCUGCCGCUGUUGCCGAUCUGCAGGAGUUAUGGAGGAGUUGGGGAGGAAGAACAGAGUCUUCAGCAACUGAGCUUCAAAGCUACGUCGCUUUUGCCCUCUUAAUUUUCAUCGAGGAAGACGAUGAGUCGAGAAGAAGGUGGAGGCUGAAAGUCAAUGGACUCCCACAAGGAGAAAGUUGAAAAUCCAUUCGUAGUUUUUUUGGCGUGAUUUUAUCUGAAAGUUCUGGUUGCCUUGAAGGAUGCUCGAAUAGAUAUGUACCAAAGCAUGGGAGAUGCUCUUGCGCAGCAGUAAGGUGGCUUUGCAGCUCACAACACCUCUUCUUGACAACAACAACUUAUCCGGGUAUCUUCCGCCAUAGUUCUCAGAGUUGCCAAGCUUAUUAAUACUUCAAGUUGACAACAACUUUGGUGGGACUACAAUUCCAGAUUUGUAUAGCAACAUGUCUAAACUGUUCAAGUUGGAACAUCUCCCGUUUCUAUCUGAUGUUAUAUCACAUUAGGAGUUUGACGAACUUACAAUGGCCUAUUCCUGAUUUCAGUAGGAUUCCAAACCUCAGUUAUCCACAGG